rnacentral:rRNA from 1 species
AGAGUUUGAUCCUGGCUCAGAUUGAACGCUGGCGGAAUGCUUUACACAUGCAAGUCGAGCGGCAGCGCGGGGCAACCUGGCGGCGAGCGGCGAACGGGUGCGUAACACAUCGGAACAUGUCCAUUCGUGGGGGAUAGCCCGGCGAAAGCCGGAUUAAUACCGCAUGAGCCCGAGAGGGGAAAGUGGGGGACUCGCAAGAGCCUCACGCGGAUGGGUUGGCCGAUGUCCGAUUAGCUAGUUGGCGGGGUAAGAGCCCACCAAGGCGAUGAUCGGUAGCUGGUCUGAGAGGAUGAUCAGCCACACUGGGACUGAGACACGGCCCAGACUCCUACGGGAGGCAGCAGUGGGGAAUUUUGGACAAUGGGGGCAACCCUGAUCCAGCCAUUCCGCGUGAGUGAAGAAGGCCUUCGGGUUGUAAAGCUCUUUUGUCCGGAGCGAAAAGGUUACGGUGAAUAUCCGUGACUACUGACGGUACCGGAAGAAUAAGCACCGGCUAACUACGUGCCAGCAGCCGCGGUAAU